UAGGGAAUCUUCGGCAAUGGGGGGAACCCUGACCGAGCAACGCCGCGUGAGUGAAGAAGGAUUUCGGUUCGUAAAACUCUGUUGUUAGAGAAGAACAGCGCAUAGAGUAACUGUUAUGCGUGUGACGGUAUCUAACCAGAAAGCCACGGCUAACUACGUGCCAGCAGCCGCGGUAAUACGUAGGUGGCAAGCGUUGUCCGGAUUUAUUGGGCGUAAAGCGAGCGCAGGCGGUUAGAAAAGUCUGAAGUGAAAGGCAGUGGCUCAACCAUUGUAGGCUUUGGAAACUGUUGAACUUGAGUGCAGAAGGGGAGAGUGGAAUUCCAUGUGUAGCGGUGAAAUGCGUAGAUAUAUGGAGGAACACCGGUGGCGAAAGCGGCUCUCUGGUCUGUAACUGACGCUGAGGCUCGAAAGCGUGGGGAGCGAACAGG
rnacentral:rRNA from 1 species